UAGGGAAUCUUCGGCAAUGGACGAAAGUCUGACCGAGCAACGCCGCGUGAGUGAAGAAGGUUUUCGGAUCGUAAAACUCUGUUGUUAGAGAAGAACAAGGACGUUAGUAACUGAACGUCCCCUGACGGUAUCUAACCAGAAAGCCACGGCUAACUACGUGCCAGCAGCCGCGGUAAUACGUAGGUGGCAAGCGUUGUCCGGAUUUAUUGGGCGUAAAGCGAGCGCAGGCGGUUUCUUAAGGCUGAUGGGAAAGCCCCCGGCUCAACCGGGGAGGGACAUUGGAUGCUAGGAGACUUGAGUGCAGAAGAGGAGAGUGGAAUUCCAUGUGUGGCGGUGAAAUGCGUAGAUAUAUGGAGGAACACCAGUGGCGAAGGCGGCUCUCUGGUCUGUAACUGACGCUGAGGCUCGAAAGCGUGGGGAGCAAACAGG
rnacentral:rRNA from 1 species